rnacentral:antisense_RNA from 2 species
UGCAAUGGUGGCUGUGCGCGGGAGAUCUUCGGGUCUGCCGGGCUCCUGUACCCCCGGUUCGCUAACCUGCGUACAGCCGCCACCCUA